GUUUUUGUAGUUGAAUAACAACGGCGGUUUUUCAGGUCGCAGGUUCUGGUUUAAACCCGGAUAAAAAUA
rnacentral:tRNA from 1 species